GUUCGUUUAAUUCCUUAACUCCCGAAUAAACUGCCGAAUGGCCGGCCACCCAGCAUGGAAGUGUGCUGCUGGUUAACCUCUUGGCCCCAUUCGAACGUUGUGGUUAACCGCAGACACCUCUUAAUUGUCAAAGGUAGGCUGGGUGGUCGUCGUUUGUAUGCCGACCACGAGGCAGCGGCCAUCUUGGACGCACGAAUGCCCAGCAGUAUUCGUCGACGAUUCCCU